rnacentral:lncRNA from 10 species
CGGAAGCCUGAGGUAUGCACAGGGCUAGUGAGCUAAGAAUAUUCCUCUGUCGCCUUUUCAAGGACAAGGGAAGCCAGGGUGGAGACUGUGCUGAGCUAAGAAACUGAUUUUGCAACAUUGCUAAACUAGCAGACUGGAGAGAUGCUCACAAUUCUCAGAUGAUAUGAGUGUUUCUCUGCAUGGGCAUCAGAGCUGCCACUGCUUGACAUUCCAAGAACUUCCCAGCUACAGGUUCAUCACCUUCUCCUCCCAGGAAAGACAUGUGAGAUUCUGCACAGAGACAGGAAUGUCGUGCCAAAGAGCCUGAAGUCAUGCCAGUGGUGGAGUGCUGAUUGGAACAGACUGGGUUUGGAUGACAUCUCUACUCAUCUGUAAUGGAAGCUGUGUCAAAAAGCAAGAACUGACCACCAUGUACAUCAGCUGGAACCUUUCUGGAAUCCACACAGUGUAAUAAUCCUUAGGAAAAGCUACCUGGGAUUCAGCUGUUACAAUCAGAAGGCCACGAACACUCAACUGGAACCUUUCAUAAUCCCAGUAAAAGGAAAGAUUCAGCUCUUGUCCUGAUUGCAGACUUUGUGCUGGGGGAUGCCAGCUGCCAUAUUGUGAAGACCCUCAAGCAUCCCUGUGGAGAGGUCCCCAUGGCACAGAAAUGGACUCUCAGCCCAAAAGCCAACAAAGAACCAAGGCCUCAAGCCAGCAGCCAUGGGAAUGGGAAUGUGCCAUCUUGGAAGCCAAUCCUGCAGCCCCAGUCAAGCCUUCAGAUGACAGUAGCCCCAGCCAAUAUCUUCACUGGAUCUUACUGAGAGACUAUGUGCCAGCAUGACCCUACUAAACAACUCUCAAAUUUCUGACCCUCAGAAAUUGUGUGAGAUAAUAAUUGUUUUUUGUUUUAAUAUGCUAAGCUUUAGGUUUGUUUGUUACUCCAAAUUAGACAACUAAUUCAGAAUGCAAUAUAUACACUCAGCCAGGUCAACUCCUCUGCUUCUUGAUGCCUGGGGAGAGUGGAGAGAGUGAUGGAUCCCCAUUAUUAUUGCACCCAGGGUACACUGGUCUGGGUUUAGAAUGUCUUGUGCUUUUUCAACCUUCUGUUCCCACAUUUCUCAGUAGUAUGUAUAUUAAACUCUCUUCAGUAACCCACUUUGAGUCUGCCAUUUUUUCCUGUUAGGUUCCCACCUGAAGUGGCUGCCAUGUAACAUCUACACAAACUCCAGCAAGUGGUGGUGGUAUCACCUGUGCUGUGAAUACCUCCCAGUGCAACCAUGCCUAUCACAUUGGAUGAUGCCAUUCAGAGCUGCUAGUGUCAGCAAAGCCAGGCUCCAGUGUCACCAGGGUGGUUUGCCUGCAUCACAGGUUCUUCGCCGACAUCACCAAUGGCUGUGCUGCCCAGGCUUUGCUCUCUCCAGUGCUCCUUUGAUAUUUGCGCGCCCCCCACCUCCUCCUAGGACUCAGAAGUAAGUCAUGUGAGAUGUGCGGGAAAGGAGCCAAGAGAAGGGCAAUUAGAAUCACCCUGAAGCAAAUUUGUCUUUCCAGGAUGUCCUGCCCAGGGCUUUACUGGGGUCUCACAUGAAUAGCUCUUGGCAGUGCCCCAGUGCACUAGAAAUGCUUAUAAAUUCCUGAAUCCCAAUGUGAACAGAGUUUGGGUCAGUCUGGACCCUUGCUU